CUGCUGUGCCGGGGCGCUGGGCACCGGCCCCGGGCACCUUCCUUCGCAGGGCGGACACGGCCCCGCUCAGCCGGGCUGCGCCACAAGCGACACAAGGUGCAGCCAGGUCUCUGCUCCCGCGGGGGCGGCCGCGGGGAGCGGUGCCAGGCGCAGCCUCUGCCGAGGGGCUCGGACACCCCGCCGGACGCCCCAGCGAGGGGCUGCCGUCCCUCACCCCCGUCGUCUGCAACCCUGCAGUAAAGCUGUCUGCUUGCACCGGUACCCUAUUUACUGUAUUUCUUCCACAGUUUAGAAGUGCUUGUAUAGAUUAUGAUAUAUAAAUUCUUUAUUGCUCCCUGCUAGAGCCUGAACUUUGAUUAGGAGCUGAAUGACCUCGGUUUCACAAGCAUCAGUCAGGUACCGGUAAACAACCCUCGUUCCACAUAAGCAGAUGUUAAUCUACAGUGGUUUAGCAAACUUUCUAGAAACUUGUUGCAAGCCUUUCUUUUUCAUUAUUUGAAAAACACCAAGUUAUUUAAUAAAUCACAGCAAGUUGUUUUGCAAAAGUAUCCUUUGAACCAUUAGAUAUUAUUGUGAAUGCCAAUUUUUCUUCCCACCUUAUGGCAGGAUAAAGAUACCCCACUCAAUUUUCAUCAAAAGCACAUGAAAGCAAUCAAGGCUCCUGUAGUUUCUAUGGAAAUAAGGGAUGCAAAUUGGGAUUGCGUGGUGCCUUUUUUCUUGAAUUUAUCCAUAAAAAUGCAAAUACUCUUCAACAGCUACUAAAAUAUUUGCCUUGUUCUAAGGGAGGCAAAAAUAUAUAGAUGAGGCUUUUGUCCACCGGCUCUCCUGGCGAAGAGAUAUGACAGCCCGUGGAGCACGAGCACGGCCCACGACGCAAGGUCCCUCCAGCCAAGCGAGUCCGAAGAGCAAUGUCAUCUCUUUGGUAUGGAAAACAGCACGGCAAAGGGAACAGCACAAGCAGAUCACGUCCGUGAUGCAUCUGCUUUGCUUUCCUGCCAGGCGUUUCGGAGCGGGGCACGUAACGGAGGAUAUUCUGCUCCCGGGCUACGUCUCAUCCUGUCCUGCAGCAGGGGCUGAUCAGAUCCUUCGCUCGGCRUCUUCUGUUUUUUCCUGCUUCUCUGGGAGCUCCGUUGCGCGCGUCGUGCAGCACUUACCGACAGACAUGCACAGCUCCGGGAAACGCCGGUCUGGGUCUGUGCCCCCCGCAAGGUCCCAGCGCCUCGGCGCAGCAGCACGGCUGCCGCGUGGAGCCAAGCGUCCUGCGGGGCCAUCGUCACCCCCCGGUGCACGCGCCCCGCUCCCGGACCCAGGGCGCUUCGCAAGGCCCAGGGACGGCUGAGUCGCUGCUGCUGGCCAAACAGCAAACCCUGGAAACUCGGCUGGUAACGUGUCAAGAAUGAACURGAGAAUGCUGCAGCCGUGUGAUUAUAAACUUGCAAUUAAUUAAUUGUGCUGUCACUAUAUCCACCUGAGAACAACAGCUAGAUCAAAGAACUCAACAGAGAUCAAAAUGAUUAGCAGAUCACUUUCCUUACAGUUGAAAGUGCCAAUUAGAUAGAGCAAGGAAGUAGUCUGGAUUAGCUGCUUCUACUAACAGCUCUGGAAGUGAAAAGUCGCUCAAGAGACUGUAGAAAAAAGAAAAAAAACCAAGUCAGGAAAGCCUCAUUGCUCACACCAUGGACAUAAAGAGAAGUCGUGGUGGUCCAGCCACUGAUUUUUCCUUUCCGAGGCUGCCAAGCGCCUCUCGGUGCUGACCAUGCCGAAAUGAGCCAGGGCGGUCUGGCUGCGCCUGCUCGGCUCUGCACAGCUACGGACCUUCCCGAGCAGGUCCGGGAGCCACAGGCCAGCCAGGAGCAGGGUGUCCAGCUCUCCGGCCCGGUGGCCCACCCAGGGCCGCGGUGCCGGCAGGUGCUGCUGCCUUGGCCCCGUGCACGCGGAUGCGGCRCCGUCCCCACGGCACGUGCCCGCUGCCGGAGCAGGGAAGCCGUCAGGGGUGCCGUGGAUUCGACGCUACUCCAUUUCUUAAGUCUUCAGUCCUGGAUCGUCAUCUCUCAGGGGAAGCUGCCGUAGCCUAACCGCAGGCACCAGCUGGCGGGAGGCGUCGCUGAGGGAUUCCCGGCGCACGUUACGCCGGUGCCGUGUCCGUGACCACGGAGCGGGGCCAGGCCGCUGCGCAUACGAGGGGGGCUGCAGGCUGAACCGUGCCCCACCGCCAGCGCGAGGGACGCAGCGGGCAAGGAGCCGGGCGGCGGGCCGGGACCGAGGAGGCCACGUCUCCUGCGCAGCAGGCCCCCAGCAAGCAGCCAUCGGCCCCCGCGAGACUGUUCCCGCUCUCCGGCGGGASAAGAGCCCACGUCCAGGCAGGCACAGCAGCUCUGCAGCAAGACACCGGCUGUUUUGCAUGUGCUUGCCGUCCUUCUUUAAGAUGUAGUUAGCACUGAGCUUCAUCUUCAUUGUCUCCUGUUUGUCACAUUGUUUAAUUUCUCUUUUUAAUCGACUCAGACAUUGUUUAAUUUCUCCGUUUAAUUGGCUCAGACAGAGAGGCUGCAGGCAAUGUCACUGUCACAUCGUCUCCCAGAAGCACUGCAGGCACGAGGGCCACAUUACYGGUCGCAGGCAGCGAGGUUGCGAGGCAUCCCUGCAGAUCCACCCCCGACUGAYAACCAGGAGGCAGCGACAGAGAACAGAAAUAAAUCAUAAGUAUUUGGCA
rnacentral:lncRNA from 1 species